rnacentral:rRNA from 1 species
AUACGGAGGGUGCAAGCGUUGUCCGGAUUUAUUGGGUUUAAAGGGUGCGUAGGUGGUUUUUUAAGUCAGUGGUGAAAGCCUACAGCUUAACUGUAGAGGUGCCAUUGAUACUGGGGAACUUGAGUAUGGACGAGGUAGGCGGAAUUUGUGGUGUAGCGGUGAAAUGCAUAGAUACCACAAGGAACACCGAUAGCGAAGGCAGCUUACUGGGCCAUAACUGACACUGAGGCACGAAAGCGUGGGGAGCGAACAGGAUUAGAGACCCGUGUAGUCC